rnacentral:rRNA from 1 species
UAGGGAAUCUUCGGCAAUGGGGGCAACCCUGACCGAGCAACGCCGCGUGAGUGAAGAAGGUUUUCGGAUCGUAAAGCUCUGUUGUAAGAGAAGAACGUGUGUGAGAGUGGAAAGUUCACACAGUGACGGUAACUUAUCAGAAAGGGACGGCUAACUACGUGCCAGCAGCCGCGGUAAUACGUAGGUCCCGAGCGUUGUCCGGAUUUAUUGGGCGUAAAGCGAGCGCAGGCGGUUUAAUAAGUCUGAAGUUAAAGGCAGUGGCUUAACCAUUGUUCGCUUUGGAAACUGUUAGACUUGAGUGCAGAAGGGGAGAGUGGAAUUCCAUGUGUAGCGGUGAAAUGCGUAGAUAUAUGGAGGAACACCGGUGGCGAAAGCGGCUCUCUGGUCUGUAACUGACGCUGAGGCUCGAAAGCGUGGGGAGCAAACAG